CAGUUCUGCAAGCAAAAGGAAAGAGAAGGAAGACAUUUCCAAUGUUUCCUUUCCUGCCUCCCCACUCUAAUUACAGUUACUGUAAUUAAUACCCCAAGUUUCUUCAGCAUUAUUUAAUGAAUGUUGAUAUUGGUGUCUACAAAACACAUGGCAAACGAUUCCUCUGCUAAACAGAAGCUAUGGCCACCACUGUGGAAACCGAGCCAGAAAGGAGAGAUGAAUUGUGCAAUGACUUGCAAAAUGAGACAGAGGCAGCACUAGCGCCAAGAAUUUCCCAGUUCUUGCCUAUUAUGUCACUUAGGAGUGACAUCUUCACUCUAGAUCCAUCCACAUUAUACCCAGAGAAAGGUCAAACUUAUGUAUUCAACUCCUGUGGUAACUUGCACUGAUAAUACCCAGGCUGCUGAAGAUCCAAAGCCAUCUGAGAAGAAAGCUAACCCUCAGCAACCCCUAGAAUGCCAUUCCUCAGUUCCACGACAAGUUACACUUCAAGACACUUUUUUCCUAGCUUGAAGUUUUCAAUUCAUUUUUAAAAACUAGAAAAUAUGGAAUUUAAAAAAUGGAAAGGUUGAGUUAUAGUGGGGCAAUGGAACUGGACUGCUCCUUCCCUCAUUUCCACACUGAACUUACAGCAAGUUUUCCAAUUCUGGUUUGCAGCUGGUAAUCAAAUGCAUUGGCUGGUGGCUCUAAGUUUUACAAUGCAACAGAACAGUUGCAGACUGAUUUUAACGACACUGCUUCAUUUGACAUCUCCCAUCCAACAGGCUUAUCCCUUUUAUCAAAAGAAUUGUGUUUGAAAACCUAACAUUUCAGAUGAAGUUGGAAUGCAGACCCCGCUUAUAUGGUGCACAUAAGCACAAGUCUGACAUUGGUUGUUUUCUGAGAGGUUCUUGCACCUCUCACAGAAGUUCCCUUCACUGUUCAGAGAGUAGAAGGAAAUCCUGAUCACCACCUUUGCGGCAUAUUUAAUUGGUUAAGAACUACUACUUUGGGUAAUUCAAAGGAAGGCUGAGCAAUUCGUGUAAUGAGAGAGGAACUAUGACCAAAAAUGACAUCCAAGCUCAAAACCCAGAAAUAACUGUCAAGAGGUCAAAAGAAAGCAGCUGUAUUUUGAUCCUGCUCAAAAAGCUGAAUUCCCUCCAUAGCCCAUCGCUUACCUAUUUCCAGCUGCUGAAGCUCUUGCUCUGAAAUGGUUGUUGCUCUCUCCACAUGGCUGCAGCUCUUCAGGGGGAGAGGAGCUGAGGCAAGAGGUGGAGGAUCCCAGGCCUCAGGUAACUCCUUGCACACAUUCCAAGGUGUUCCUUCAACCUCCUCUGUUUGCUCCAGAGAUGGCGGUGACAGGGCAGGGCUUGCACAAGAAACUUUGACUGCCAAUUUUGGGUCAGAACCAGUCUCAGAAACUGGGCUCACUGUGGGGGACAGGGAUGUCUGGGGAGUGUUUUCUUUGUUCAGAGAUAAAUGCCUAGGCUCUCUGUAUUCGCCUUUCCAGGGGCUUGUCACACCUCCCACUACAAAAAGCAAAAAGCACACAAAGAUUAUAAACUAAAGACAAAACAAAAGAUGUAAAAGCUUUCCUUCACACGAAGAGUUUCUGAACUGUAUCUUGCUGUAAAAUACCCAGUGUCUUUAGAAGACAAAACCAGACCACCUCUACUGUACUGCAGAAUGUUCUGCUGUAUUGCAGAACCUUAUGGCAGGGUUAACUUGAAAUAAAUGAUGGAUAGUCUUAGAGGCAAGACCAGACCACAAGUAGGAGUUUCAGUUCAGGAUGCAACCGCUUUCAGUUUUGCUGCAUACCAGGCUCCAGCUCAAUGGGUGAUACUUCAGCUGAACAUGAGCCCAGCCACAGCACACACCUUAAUAAACCCACAUGGAGCAGAACAUUGGCUGCUUCAAGCAGAGAAGGAAGAGCACGUGACAGCACACAGGAAAUCUGACUUUAUUUGGGUGAGAAGCACGUGGCUGUGGGCAAAAGCCAUCAACCCCAAAAGAUCCAUCAAUGCUGAAGCCUGUGCAAAUGACAUCCUGAACAGUAAAACACACUGAUGUUUCCCAUAGGGCCACUGACAUAACUAGCAACUGGCUACUGUACCAGUGUGGAUAAGAAGCUUUAGAUACAGGACAUUUCUACCUUCUUCAAGUGCGACACUGGUUUUAGUUUUCAGUUCAGACGCAGAUGCUCUCUGAACAGGCUCUUUCUCCAGACCCAUUUUAAUAAUCUCAGCAGUGAGAGGGUUGCAGGAAGGUGGAAUUUCCCUCAGAGGAGGUGGCUCUUUAGCUAUCUGUGUAACAAACAGGAAGUGAAAGAGGUUAGACCAGAGAAGCUUAAUUUGAUUUCAGAACGGUUCUUCCCACCCUGAAAGCGUUUCCAACUGAAAUGACAGCAUUAAACAAGAGACCUGAGCAGUAAGUUUAUUACAGAUGAAUGGCUAAAAAGUCACACCCAAGUCAUGAGCAGGAUGCGAAAGAAACAGCCCUAGCAUGUGUAAUAUCCAGCAGUCAAAGAGGUGUAAGAAAUGAUCAGCUCCCAAAGCAAGGUUGGCAUCAUUUAGAUGCCCAACUGGCUCUCAGCCAGCCUUCCUGAAACGGCAGCUCUCUACCUGCAUAUCAUGAGAAUCUGCAGGCAUAUGUACCUUUUACUAGAGAUAUCUUGGGUCACUUACCUUUAGACAGAGUGGGUGAUUGUAAUACUGGGUCCAAGGGUGGCACCCAUUAAGCAUAUGCAGCAUCAUACAGCAACUGCUCCAGACAUCCACUUUGGAGUCACAACGCUUUCCCAUGACCACCUCCGGAGCCAUGUGAGUCUCUGUGCCAGGCACAUAGUUCCCUAAAACCAUUCAAAUGAAAACUCACUGCAUGGAAACUAGAGAAUUGUUCUAAUGCAACUGCUGGGAAGCCUAAGGCAGCUUCCUUGUCUUUCCAGUUAAAGUGAGAAAUAAGUCACCUUAACCCAAAAAGCAGCACUGUGUGCUUUUAUAAGCUUAUAGGCUACAUUUCCAUAUCAGUCCCAUCCCUUACACAUAGAAUAAGUAUUAAUCUCUCCUUCCAAGCAAAUCUGGGAGGGGAAACAUGACGUUCUACUGGUGAGCUUGGCAUAAGCAAACAUCCUUCUCUUUCAACAGCUCCAUUAAGAAGCACUGUAAAGCUUAACUGCCAAAAAAUCAGCGAGGAAUUUUGCUUUAGGAUCCUUCCCCAGCUGUUUAGUGAGGUUACAUCACAAGUCAGAGUUAGAUUUUUAAGUUUCAGUGUAGCUUCUUGAAGGGACAAAACACAGACCACAGCAUGCUGACAAAAACCCACAACAGCUUUCUAGACCGGGAGGUAAGGACCACCUUCCACCCUGAAGUUCAUUUUAGCUGUCAGUGGGACACCUCAGGGUAAGAUCACUAAAUGUGACACUAUGAGCAACAUGAAGUCUGGGAAAUACAGCAGCUUGCAAAUUAGCUAAACAUAGAUGCUCAAAGAAGAAAGAAGGAGUCAGCAGGGCAAUUCUUUACAAUCACAGCAGAAAAUCCUUACCUGUGACCAAGCACUUCCCCAGGCCAUCUGGAUGGAGGUGAGCAGAGUGACCGAAGUCACACAGAAGAGCCCUGCUUCCAUCAUCAGACAAGAGCACGUUUUCCGCUGGCAAUGAGAAGGUUUGAAUUAGUCUCCUUUGUGUUAUGGUCACUGAGAUGGAAAAAAAGC